GAAACGUCAGCUGCGCUCCCCUAGGAGUGCUGAGCCCGCGGAACCGCAGCCAUGGCGGAAGAGUGAUACAAGAGGUACUUCUCAUCUUCUACCUGGUUACCGCCUAAUACAGCAUUUAGGAAAGGCACAGAAGAUGAUUGUUUCCCUUUCCCAGUUUUCAAAAUAUUGAGUUGCUAUCACUUGCAUAGUUUUGACUUUUAAACCAUGAAGAUAUUUUACAUAUUUGAAAAAUAAAAUUUAAAGCAAGCUGACUACAAAAUAAAUCUACUUGUAUACCAAAUUGCUAACCACAAGGAAAAUUUUAAUUUGAAUAACUUUUGAACAAAGUCCUGCCACUGGAUGGCUUUGAUAGGAUAUAUCCUAAGAACAAAAAUAAAUUUUGACUUUGACUGAGGCUGAUGUGAAUCCAAAGGCCUAUCCCCUUGCCGAUGCCCACCUCACCAAGAAGCUACUGGACCUCGUUCAGCAGUCAUGUAACUAUAAGCAGCUUCGGAAAGGAGCCAAUGAGGGUAAGGCAGCCACAGGAUGCUCUGGGGGAAUGUUAAAGGCACCUGUUUCCAUCUGGGGCCUCUGAUCUGAUUUCCAGUUUGGGAGGAGGGCUAGCUGCUCUCGACUACAACCAGUGGGAGGACUUUGGCAUUAGAUGCUAAAGCUGAUGGGCUAAGAAUUUUUUUUAGACCCACCAAUUGUUAACAUUUUGCCACAUUUACCUUCUUUUUCACUCUAUAAGUGAAUUUUAUUUUUGCUGAGCCAUUUGAAAGCAGUUGUGGAGACUGUAUAGUGGCUGUAUGACCUCACCAGAGCCAUCAGAAGGAAAGGGAUAUUAAUGCUUUUUAGCAUCCCUUAUACGGUGGAUACUUAACAUUCAUGAAUUUCAUUUGGUUCCCAGAAACAUUCCCUACCCCUCUCCCU
rnacentral:lncRNA from 1 species